AUUGAACGCUGGCGGCAGGCCUAACACAUGCAAGUCGAGCGGAUGAAGGGAGCUUGCUCCUGGAUUCAGCGGCGGACGGGUGAGUAAUGCAUAGGAAUCUGCCUGGUAGUGGGGGAUAACGUCCGGACACGGGCGCUAAUACCGCAUACGUCCUGAGGGAGAAAGUGGGGGAUCUUCGGACCUCACGCUAUCAGAUGAGCCUAGGUCGGAUUAGCUAGUUGGUGGGGUAAAGGCCUACCAAGGCGACGAUCCGUAACUGGUCUGAGAGGAUGAUCAGUCACACUGGAACUGAGACACGGUCCAGACUCCUACGGGAGGCAGCAGUGGGGAAUAUUGGACAAUGGGCGAAAGCCUGAUCCAGCCAUGCCGCGUGUGUGAAGAAGGUCUUCGGAUUGUAAAGCACUUUAAGUUGGGAGGAAGGGCAGUAAGUUAAUACCUUGCUGUUUUGACGUUACCAACAGAAUAAGCACCGGCUAACUUCGUG
rnacentral:rRNA from 1 species